rnacentral:rRNA from 1 species
GACGAACGCUGGCGGCGUGCCUAAUACAUGCAAGUCGAGCGAACGGACGAGAAGCUUGCUUCUCUGAUGUUAGCGGCGGACGUGUGAGUAACACGUGUAUACCCUACCUAUAAGACUGGGAUAACUACGGGAAACCGGAGCUAAUACCGGAUAAUAUUUUGAACCGCAUGGUUCAAAAGUGAAUGACGGUCUUGCUGUCUCUUAUAGAUGCAUCCGCGCUGCAUUAGCUGGUUGGUAAGGUAACGGCUUUCCACGGCAACGAUGCAUAGCCGACCUGAGAGGGUGAUCGGCCGCCCUGGAACUGAGACACGGUCCAGGCUCCUACGGUAGGCAGCAGUAGGGUAUCUUCCGCAAUGGGCGGAAGCCUUACGGAGCAGCGCGGCGUGAGUGAUGAAGGUCUUCGGAUCGUAAAGCUCUGUUAUUAGGGAAGAACAUAUUUGUAAGUAACUGUGCACAUCUUGACGGUACCUAAUCAGAAAGCCCCGGCUAACUACGUG